CCUACGGGAGGCUGCAGUGGGGAAUAUUGGACAAUGGGGGGAACCCUGAUCCAGCCAUGCCGCGUGUGUGAAGAAGGCCCUCGGGUUGUAAAGCACUUUCAGUGAGGAAGAACGCCUGGUGGUUAAUACCCAUCAGGAAAGACAUUACUCACAGAAGAAGCACCGGCUAACUCCGUGCCAGCAGCCGCGGUAAUACGGAGGGUGCGAGCGUUAAUCGGAAUUACUGGGCGUAAAGCGCGCGUAGGUGGCUUGAUAAGCCGGUUGUGAAAGCCCCGGGCUCAACCUGGGAACGGCAUCCGGAACUGUCAAGCUAGAGUGCAGGAGAGGAAGGUAGAAUUCCCGGUGUAGCGGUGAAAUGCGUAGAGAUCGGGAGGAAUACCAGUGGCGAAGGCGGCCUUCUGGACUGACACUGACACUGAGGUGCGAAAGCGUGGGUAGCAAACAGGAUUAGAUACCCCGGUAGUC
rnacentral:rRNA from 1 species